GCUCUGGUAACUCAGCAGGUAGAGUGCAUGGCUGUUAACCAUGUUGUCGCAGGUUCAAGUCCUGCCCAGGGCG
rnacentral:tRNA from 1 species